rnacentral:rRNA from 1 species
CGCGGCCUAUCAGCUUGUUGGUGGGGUAAUGGCCUACCAAGGCGACGACGGGUAGCCGGCCUGAGAGGGUGACCGGCCACACUGGGACUGAGAUACGGCCCAGACUCCUACGGGAGGCAGCAGUGGGGAAUAUUGCACAAUGGGCGCAAGCCUGAUGCAGCGACGCCGCGUGAGGGAUGACGGCCUUCGGGUUGUAAACCUCUUUCAGCACAGACGAAGCGCAAGUGACGGUAUGUGCAGAAGAAGGACCGGCCAACUACGUGCCAGCAGCCGCGGUAAUACGUAGGGUCCGAGCGUUGUCCGGAAUUACUGGGCGUAAAGAGCUCGUAGGUGGUUUGUCGCGUUGUUCGUGAAAACUCACAGCUUAACUGUGGGCGUGCGGGCGAUACGGGCAGACUUGAGUACUGCAGGGGAGACUGGAAUUCCUGGUGUAGCGGUGGAAUGCGCAGAUAUCAGGAGGAACACCGGUGGCGAAGGCGGGUCUCUGGGCAGUAACUGACGCUGAGGAGCGAAAGCGUGGGGAGCGAACAGGAUUAGAUACCCUGGUAGUCCACGCCGUAAACGGUGGGUACUAGGUGUGGGUUUCCUUCCUUGGGAUCCGUGCCGUAGCUAACGCAUUAAGUACCCCGCCUGGGGAGUACGG